AGCGAACGCUGGCGGCGUGCUUAACACAUGCAAGUCGAGUGCGCGUUUCGUAGCAAUACGGGAUGGCGCACGGCGCACGGGUGAGGAACACGUGGGCAACAUGCCCUCUGAUGGGGAAUAACCCCGCGAAAGCGGGGCUAAUACCGCAUAAGAUUCCGGGGACCUCGGUCCCUGGACUGAAAGCCCGCAAGGGCGUCGGAGGAGUGGCCCGCGGCCGAUUAGCUUGUUGGCGGGGAACGGCCCACCAAGGCAAUGAUCGGUAGCCGGUCUGAGAGGAUGAUCGGCCACACUGGAACUGAGACACGGUCCAGACUCCUACGGGAGGCAGCAGUGGGGAAUCUUGCGCAAUGGGCGAAAGCCUGACGCAGCGACGCCGCGU
rnacentral:rRNA from 1 species